GACGAACGCUGGCGGCGUGCUUAACACAUGCAAGUCGAACGAUGAAGCCGGAGCUUGCUCUGGUGAAUUAGUGGCGAACGGGUGAGUAACACGUGAGUAACCUGCCCUUGACUCUGGGAUAACUGCGGGAGACUGUAGCUAAUACCGGAUACGACCCUCGGAGGCAUCUCCUGGGGGUGGAAAGAAUUUCGGUCAAGGAUGGACUCGCGGCCUAUCAGCUAGUUGGUGAGGUAAAGGCUCACCAAGGCGACGACGGGUAGCCGGCCUGAGAGGGUGACCGGCCACACUGGGACUGAGACACGGCCCAGACUCCUACGGGAGGCAGCAGUGAGGAAUAUUGCACAAUGGGCGCAAGCCUGAUGCAGCAACGCCGCGUGAGGGAUGACGGCCUUCGGGUUGUAAACUGCUUUUGUACCAGAGAAAACCUACUCACGUGUGAGUAGCUGAUAGUAUGGUAAGAAUAAGCAUCGGCUAACUUCGUGCCAGCCGCCGCGGUAAGAC
rnacentral:rRNA from 1 species